rnacentral:rRNA from 1 species
AAAUUGAAGAGUUUGAUCAUGGCUCAGAUUGAACGCUGGCGGCAGGCCUAACACAUGCAAGUCGAACGGUAACAGGAAGCAGCUUGGCUGCUUUGCUGACGAGUGGCGGACGGGUGAGUAAUGUCUGGGAAACUGCCUGAUGGAGGGGGAUAACUACUGGAAACGGUGGCUAAUACCGCAUAACGUCGCAAGACCAAAGAGGGGGACCUUCGGGCCUCUU